UCCGGUUUGUCACCGGCAGUCUCCCUAGGGUGCCCUUGCGUAGCAACUAGGGACAAGGGUUGCGCUCGUUGCGGGACUUAACCCAACAUCUCACGACACGAGCUGACGACGGCCAUGCAGCACCUGUGUUCUAGCUCUCUUUCGAGCACGAAACCAUCUCUGGUAACUUCUAGGCAUGUCAAGGGUAGGUAAGGUUUUUCGCGUUGCAUCGAAUUGAACCACAUGCUCCACCGCUUGUGCGGGCCCCCGUCAAUUCCUUUGAGUUUUAGCCUUGCGGCCGUACUCCCCAGGCGGGAUGCUUAACGCGUUAGCUACGUUGCCGCAGGGGUCAAUACCCGCGACGACUAGCAUCCAUCGUUUGCGGCGUGGACUAC
rnacentral:misc_RNA from 1 species